rnacentral:rRNA from 1 species
UACGUAGGGGGCAAGCGUUAUCCGGAUUUACUGGGUGUAAAGGGAGCGUAGACGGCGAUGCAAGUCUGAAGUGAAAGGCGGGGGCCCAACCCCUGGACUGCUUUGGAAACUGUAUAGCUAGAGUGCAGGAGAGGUAAGUGGAAUUCCUAGUGUAGCGGUGAAAUGCAUAGAUAUCGCGCAGAACUCCGAUUGCGAAGGCAGCAUGCCGGCUCCACACUGACGCUGAGGCACGAAAGCGUGGGUAUCGAACAGG